rnacentral:tRNA from 1 species
UUACGGCUCAGUGGUAGAGCAUUUGCCUUACAUGUGUGAGGCACUGGAUUCAAUCUCAGCACCACAUAUAAAUAAAUGAAUAAAAUAAGGUCCAUCAACAACUAAAAAAAAAAAAAAUUAUAAUAAUUAUCUUUUUUUAAAAAAAAAAAAAAGAAGGGGCUGGGAUAGAGCUCAGUUGCACAAGGCCCUGGGUUCAAUCCCCAACAAAAA